ensembl:lncRNA UGDH-AS1 UGDH antisense RNA 1
GGCGGGGCUGCGUGCGUGGCGUGUCCGCUGGACCAGGGGACGGGGGCGCGCCGCAGGUGUAGGAGCUUUGCGCGCCUACCUGGCGGUCGUGGGUCGAGGAGGGGUCAAGAAUUGUUGUCUAGCAGCCCUCUCCCCGCUGCCCUGUCCUGGCCGAGGCAAAGGCCGCGUGCGCUCCGCGUCUGCCAGGCUUUAGGGCUGCGCGGACACUGGGUGGGUGGUGGGCCGAGGCGACCGGAAGGUCCUGGCCGCCUUUCCGGUCUCCUCAGCACCCUGGAGCGCCGCCCUCGGGUUUCGGUCUCCUGGAUCUGCGGGUCGGUCUCGGCGGGCGGAUUACUCCUCGCCCACAACCUCGAGGCCCCGGGGUCAACCGCGCCCUCCGGGCCGGCAACCCAGGGUUUAGUCAGAUUCCUCCUGACCCACCGCUUCUGGGAAAGAGGCGCCUCCCGUCAGGAGGAUGCUGAGUUCCUCAUGACUGGACCAGUGAGUGUCCACUCCCUGGUCCCUGGCGAGAGAGGCGGGACCCCCACGCCCUCCUGGCGCUCUUUGCAGAGAUGUUCCUCAGGCCCAAUCCGGGAUUUGGGAUGUCUGUGCGUGCUGUGGAGCAGAGAGUUUGCAACAUGGUCUCACUUUGUCACCCAGGCUGGAAUGCAUUGGCAUGAACACGUCUCACUGCAGCCUCAACCUCCCAGGCUGAAGUGACCCUCCAACUCUGCUUUCACAGUAGCUGUGAUAUGGUUUGGCUGUGUCCCCACCCACAUCUCAUCUUAAAACCCAGUGGGAGGUAAUUGAAUCAUGGGGGCAAGUCUUUCCUGUGCUGUUCUUGUGAUAGUGAAUAAGUCUCAUGAGAUCUGAUGGUUUUUAAAAGAGUUCUGGCUGGGCAUGGUGGUGGGCACCUGUAAUCCAAACUACUAGGGAGGCUGAGGCAGAGUGAAUUGCUUGAACCUGGGAGAAGGAGGUUGCAGUGAGCCGAGAUUGCACCGCUGCACUCCAGCCUGGGCAAAAUUGAAGACUCUGUCUCCAAAAAAAAAAAAAAGGAGUUCCUCUGCAUAAGCUCUCUCUCUUUGCCUGCUGCCAUCCAUGUAAGAUGUGACUUGCUCUUCCUUGCCCUAUGAUUGUGAGUCUUUCCCCAGCCACGUGGAACUGUAAGUCCAAAUAAACCUCUUUCUUUUGUAAAUUG